UACGUAGGGUGCAAGCGUUAAUCGGAAUUACUGGGCGUAAAGCGUGCGCAGGCGGUUUUGUAAGUCUGAUGUGAAAUCCCCGGGCUCAACCUGGGAAUUGCAUUGGAGACUGCAAGGCUAGAAUCUGGCAGAGGGGGGGUAGAAUUCCACGUGUAGCAGUGAAAUGCGUAGAGAUGUGGAGGAACACCGAUGGCGAAGGCAGCCCCCUGGGUCAAGAUUGACGCUACAUGCA
rnacentral:rRNA from 1 species